ACGGAAGGCAGCAGUGAGGAAUAUUGGUCAAUGGACGGAAGUCUGAACCAGCCAAGUCGCGUGAAGGAUGAAGGUAUUAUGUAUUGUAAACUUCUUUAGCAGUGGAGUAAUAAGGGGAUCGCGAUCCCUGAUGCAAGUACACUGAGAAUAAGGAUCGGCUAACUCCGUGCCAGCAGCCGCGGUAAUACGGAGGAUCCGAGCGUUAUCCGGAUUUAUUGGGUUUAAAGGGUGCGCAGGCGGCUUUUUAAGUCAGUGGUUAAAUCGUGACGCUCAACGUCAUCACGCCAUUGAUACUGGAGAGCUUGAUUGCGGUCGAGGUUUGCGGAAUUCGUUGUGUAGCGGUGAAAUGCAUAGAUAUGACGAAGAACACCGAUUGCGUAGGCAGCUUACCAGACCGUUAAUGACGCUCAUGCACGAAAGUGCGGGGAUCGAACAGGAUUAGAUACCCUGGUA
rnacentral:rRNA from 1 species